UACGUAGGGUGCAAGCGUUUAAUCGGAAUUACUGGGCGUAAAGCGUGCGCAGGCGGUUUUGUAAGUCUGUUGUGAAAUCCCCGGGCUUAACCUGGGAAUUGCAAUGGAGACUGCAAGGCUGGAGUCUGGCAGAGGGGGGUAGAAUUCCACGUGUAGCAGUGAAAUGCGUAGAGAUGUGGAGGAACACCGAUGGCGAAGGCAGCCCCCUGGGUCAAGACUGACGCUCAUGCACGAA
rnacentral:rRNA from 1 species